rnacentral:rRNA from 1 species
ACUCCUACGGGAGGCAGCAGUGGGGAAUUUUGCGCAAUGGGGGAAACCCUGACGCAGCAACGCCGCGUGAGUGAUGAAGGCCUUCGGGUCGUAAAGCUCUGUCAGAGGGGAAGAAAUGCAGGGGUGCUAAUAUCAUCUUUGCUUGACGGUACCCUCAAAGGAAGCACCGGCUAACUCCGUGCCAGCAGCCGCGGUAAUACGGAGGGUGCGAGCGUUGUUCGGAAUUAUUGGGCGUAAAGCGCGUGUAGGCGGUUUGGUAAGUCUGAUGUGAAAGCCCCGGGCUCAACCUGGGAAGUGCAUUGGAAACUGUCAGACUUGAAUACGGGAGAGGGUAGUGGAAUUCCUAGUGUAGGAGUGAAAUCCGUAGAUAUUAGGAGGAACACCGGUGGCGAAGGCGGCUACCUGGACCGAUAUUGACGCUGAGACGCGAAAGCGUGGGGAGCAAACAGGAUUAGAUACCCUGGUAGUCCACGCCGUAAACGAUGAGUACUAGGUGUUGCGGGUAUUGACCCCUGCAGUGCCGCAGCUAACGCAUUAAGUACUCCGCCUGGGAAGUACGGUCGCAAGACUAAAACUCAAAGGAAUUGACGG